UUUGAUCAUGGCUCAGAUUGAACGCUGGCGGCAGGCCUAACACAUGCAAGUCGAACGGUAACAGGAAGCAGCUUGCUGCUUUGCUGACGAGUGGCGGACGGGUGAGUAAUGUCUGGGAAACUGCCUGAUGGAGGGGGAUAACUACUGGAAACGGUGGCUAAUACCGCAUAACGUCGCAAGACCAAAGAGGGGGACCUUCGGGCCUCUUGCCAUCAGAUGUGCCCAGAUGGGAUUAGCUUGUUGGUGAGGUAACGGCUCACCAAGGCGACGAUCCCUAGCUGGUCUGAGAGGAUGACCAGCCACACUGGAACUGAGACACGGUCCAGACUCCUACGGGAGGCAGCAGUGGGGAAUAUUGCACAAUGGGCGCAAGCCUGAUGCAGCCAUGCCGCGUGUAUGAAGAAGGCCUUCGGGUUGUAAAGUACUUUCAGCGGGGAGGAAGGUGUUGUGGUUAAUAACCGCAGCAAUUGACGUUACCCGCAGAAGAAGCACCGGCUAACUCCGUGCCAGCAGCCGCGGUAAUACGGAGGGUGCAAGCGUUAAUCGGAAUUACUGGGCGUAAAGCGCACGCAGGCGGUCUGUCAAGUCGGAUGUGAAAUCCCCGGGCUCAACCUGGGAACUGCAUUCGAAACUGGCAGGCUUGAGUCUUGUAGAGGGGGGUAGAAUUCCAGGUGUAGCGGUGAAAUGCGUAGAGAUCUGGAGGAAUACCGGUGGCGAAGGCGGCCCCCUGGACAAAGACUGACGCUCAGGUGCGAAAGCGUGGGGAGCAAACAGGAUUAGAUACCCUGGUAGUCCACGCCGUAAACGAUGUCUACUUGGAGGUUGUGCCCUUGAGGCGUGGCUUCCGGAGCUAACGCGUUAAGUAGACCGCCUGGGGAGUACGGCCGCAAGGUUAAAACUCAAAUGAAUUGACGGGGGCCCGCACAAGCGGUGGAGCAUGUGGUUUAAUUCGAUGCAACGCGAAGAACCUUACCUGGUCUUGACAUCCACGGAAGAAUUCAGAGAUGGAUUUGUGCCUUCGGGAACCGUGAGACAGGUGCUGCAUGGCUGUCGUCAGCUCGU
rnacentral:rRNA from 1 species